AAGUACACAAGAUGUUUUACAACAUGAUGAAACAUAUACUUUUGUAUGUGAUGAAUGUAACGAAUCAUGUUACAGCAUAAGUCAUUUACAAAUGCACAAACAGCUUAUGCAUAACUAUAAAGAAGAAGAUUUUAUAUGUAAGAUAUGUACCGCGAAAUUCACAAGCUCACUUGUCUUACAAAAUCAUAUUCUACUUCACAUAAUUGAAGAAUAUAUGAGUGAUUAAUAUAAAAAAUACUAUAAGACCAAGCAAAGUUUACACAACCAUAUCAAGAAAAUUCACGAAGGGAGGAAGUUUAUAUGUAAGAUAUGGUCCAAAACAUUUCGUUCGAAAUAUUACUUUAACAGACAUACACUAGAUCAUUCUACUGAUAGACCUUAUUCGUGUGAAGAGUGUAAUCAGACUUUUAAAAUGAAAGACAAUUUAUUGGUGCACAAACGACUCAUGCAUGAAGAUAGACGUU